UCGAACUCUGUUACGGUGUGCACCGCUCAGUUUCGGAGCUGCGUAUCAGAGAGUAUUGCGUACUCAUUCCUCGUCUCGGCUUUGCUGGAGGAUGUAUAAACGACCACGAUGAAACAUUCCGAAUGGCAACAGAGCUGCAAACUUUGAGGUCACAGUGUCGUAGUUUUGCGCCAGUGUAGUAGGAUGGCGUCACUACGACAACAGGUGGGUCUGGGAUACUGGAGUGGGUUGGGGUGUGUUGCCAUAGUGUUGACAUCCUUCACUGGACCAUUCGUGAUCAGCUCUGACCCACUGCAAUUCGGCAUCGCUCUAAGAAGUCAUCGAUUCGUUUGAUUCAGGUGAGGUUUUUGUAAGUCGAGGAGAAAAGCAAAGGCUUCUUCGGUUGUGGUGAUGAGCGGAGAGGUUGUGAAGUGGAUAAGCAACGAUUUGAGCGCAUCCGAAAUAAUCAUCUUGGAAUCGAGAAUAAGCUGGACAUUUGUGUAGUGGGUGCUGGUCCUCACGGUCUUGCCUCCCUAACGCACUUCCUGUCCUCUCCCGAACACCUCGAUCGCUUCGAUGAGCAUCCCAACAACAGCACUCUAUACUUCGAUCCUGCGGUGUCGACAAAAACGGGCGCCGAAUCAAGUGUAAAGUCGCAGACAAUGCCAACACGAUCAGGUCGAAGAGAAGCGGUCGUGAAAUGUAUGAGCAUUACAUGUCUCGCGCAGCUUCUUCACAUAUGACUAAAGAACCCCCGAGGACUGAUUCCACCGCGAUCCGCUCCUGAACUUCACCAUGUGCACAAGAGAUCGAAAGCUGUGCAUACUCAAGCUCCGUCCCUUGCUGAUGAUUCCACCGCACCACUCCGGCCUGCAAGCGACGCCCACUCUUGCGAAGACUCACACAUUUUUGGACGUGACUUUGAUCUAGAAACGUUAUAUUAUUUUUAAUUAUUUUGUGUUUUGUAGGACAAGAAUAAGAUUUAGACAGUAUUUGCAUGGAGUUGAGGAAUGUGAUCAACAUAGACUACACGUCAAUGCAGGAUAUGAAGCAUCUGUAUUGCUAGUGCAUGGACUUUGUAGUCUCUUACUUCCUGCAUGAUCUGUUAUGAUAAUAAUGUACAGUAGUUGGUGAAUAAUAUGAGAUUGUGGUAUCACAUAGUUGCGUUUUGUCCAA